rnacentral:rRNA from 1 species
UACGUAGGGUCCGAGCGUUGUCCGGAAUUAUUGGGCGUAAAGAGCUCGUAGGCGGUUUGUCGCGUCUGCUGUGAAAUCCCGAGGCUCAACCUCGGGCCUGCAGUGGGUACGGGCAGACUGGAGUGCGGUAGGGGAGAAUGGAAUUCCUGGUGUAGCGGUGGAAUGCGCAGAUAUCAGGAGGAACACCGAUGGCGAAGGCAGUUCUCUGGGCCGUAACUGACGCUGAGGAGCGGAAGCGUGGGGAGCGAACAGG